AGGUACACCCCUCUCCCCCUCAUCCAGCGCCUCCCCUGUCGAACAAAUCGAGACGCGAGAGAGACGAGGCAGGGGCGAGCGACGCGGCGCGGCGCCUCCCUGCCGGAACCAGCCCCCGCACGCUCGCCGGAGUCGCCGCCGAGCUGUCCUUCGCCGCGCCCAGGCCGAGCUCCGGGUCGCCGCGCGCACGUGGGGGGCGGCGCCGACGCCGACGCCGCGCCAGAUCUGAGAGGUCCUCACCGACGCCCUCCUGCGGGCCUUCCUCGCCGGAGCCCGGCGGACGGCCCUUCCUCCCCUCCAUUUCGGCUCGCCGUCAGCUCCUCUGCGCCCCAUCGGCAAGCCGCGACGCCACAGCUCUGCGCCCCAUCGGCAAAGCCGCCGGAAAACAAGCUCGCCCCCAUCAGCUCGCCGCCGGCGCCGGUCCAACGCCGCCGUGAGGGAUCCCCCUCCUCCCCGCCGAGCUACAACACCCUAUUCCCCUCUGCUGCACAGGAUGAGGUUCUAGCAGGAAAUAGACCAACAGCUGCCUUGAGUCCCCUUGGCUACAAAAACUUGGAAGAAAAAUUCCUUGCACAGACCGGUCGGCAUUAUGACCGUACAAAAUUAAAGAACCGUUGGGAUACUUUGAAGACACAAUAUAACUUAUGGAAAGAGCUCAAGCAUGCAGCAACUGGUCUUGGGUUUGAUGUUACAGAGGGAUUAAUAGUAGCGGAUGAUGAUUGGUGGAAGGAGAAAAUAGCGGCUAACAAAGAGUAUGGCAAAUUUCGCUACUCACCUAUUGAGAAUCUUAAUGAGCUAGAG
rnacentral:lncRNA from 1 species